UAAUACAGUCUUACCACCCAGGACGCACCCAAUCUCCUCUGAUCUCCAAAGCUAAGCAAGUUUGGAUCUAGUUAGCAUUUGUAAGGAGCCAGGGUAGGGUAAUAGAUUAUAUAUUGA
rnacentral:rRNA from 1 species